AACGAACGCUGGCGGCAUGCCUAACACAUGCAAGUCGAACGAGACCUUCGGGUCUAGUGGCGCACGGGUGCGUAACGCGGGGGAACCUGCCCUUAGGUUCGGAAUAACUCCCCGAAAGGGGUGCUAAUACCGGAUAAUGUCUUCGGACCAAAGAUUUAUCGCCUUUGGAUGGGCCCGCGUUGGAUUAGCUAGUUGGUAGGGUAAAAGCCUACCAAGGCGACGAUCCAUAGCUGGUCUGAGAGGAUGAUCAGCCACACUGGGACUGAGACACGGCCCAGACUCCUACGGGAGGCAGCAGUGGGGAAUAUUGGACAAUGGGCGAAAGCCUGAUCCAGCAAUGCCGCGUGAGUGAUGAAGGCCUUAGGGUUGUAAAGCUCUUUUACCCGGGAUGAUAAUGACAGUACCGGGAGAAUAAGCGCCGGCUAACUCCGUG
rnacentral:rRNA from 1 species